rnacentral:rRNA from 1 species
AACGAACGCUGGCGGCAUGCCUAACACAUGCAAGUCGGACGAGACCUUCGGGUCUAGUGGCGCACGGGUGCGUAACGCGUGGGAAUCUGCCCCUCGGUUCGGAAUAACAGUUAGAAAUGACUGCUAAUACCGGAUAAUGACUUCGGUCCAAAGAUUUAUCGCCGAGGGAUGAGCCCGCGUAAGAUUAGGUAGUUGGUGGGGUAAAGGCCUACCAAGCCGACGAUCUUUAGCUGGUCUGAGAGGAUGAUCAGCCACACUGGGACUGAGACACGGCCCAGACUCCUACGGGAGGCAGCAGUGGGGAAUAUUGGACAAUGGGCGAAAGCCUGAUCCAGCAAUGCCGCGUGAGUGAUGAAGGCCUUAGGGUUGUAAAGCCCUUUUACCAGGGAUGAUAAUGACAGUACCUGGAGAAUAAGCUCCGGCUAACUCCGUGCCAGCCGCCGCCGUAA